UAGUAUCAGGAAUCAGCAUUUCCCUUGCGAUCAUCUUGAUUUUUAUAUUUGCUUUUCUUUGGUUUAAAUGGAAAUUGUCUAAGGGAAAUUCAGCUGAAAUUAAUUCUGUCCCCUCCAGUGAAGCUGUGGUGACCUUAAAAAAUACCAAGUUAUAAGAGCCAAUGAGGAAAGAAGAAAUGAAAGUCCUCUCAGUUGAUAGCUAUUUAAAUGGCUCUUCCACAAGAGCAAUAUAUUCAAAAAAUAAAUUCUCGAGACUGAAGAGAUCCAAAUGAUAGAAAAUGGCACGCUUAGGCUAUGUAUAUACUAAUGAAUUAAAGCUGCACAGGAACAUUGGCACUGUUGAGACUUAGCUGGAAUAGCUCUUGUUUAAACUUGUAUUGUGUAUAUUACCUAUUGGGAAUGGCUCCUGGAAGCCCCCAACUUCCAAAAUUUGGCUAGUGCCACAACCAAGUUACCUGAAUAAACAACAGUCUUCCAGUGCAUGGGAAUUUCCUAGACAUUGUUUAAUUUACUAGUCUAGAUACAUAGCCUUAUUGUUUAAAGCUAUUUCUAAAUGACCUAUUUGAUGUCGUAUUCACUCAUUUAGGGACAGUUAUUAUCAGUGAUUAAUCAAAGCUGGCCACUGCAAACCUUCAUUUACUCACUGCACUGUGUUCGGCUUCUGCAUUGUAACUGUGUAAAAAGCUAGUCAUUUAAAUAUAAGUCUUGUUGUCAUAAGCUUAUUAAGAUGUCUUAGACUGGAGCAUGAAUUUAAAGUUGAACUAUGUUUCACUCUUUCAGUAAGUAGAUGAUUUCAUGGAACAAAAUAACAGAAUAGUCUCAUACCUUGACCUUAGGCAAAAGAUAAGCAUACAAACUAAGUGAAUGCAGAAAUCACUCGUGCAGAGUAAAUUCAUAUCCUGGCAUAUACUUCUGAGAAGCUACAUAAAUUUAAGUGUGUGAAACCCCAUGUUGUGACAAAGCUGCCCCUACUACCCAGAGAAAUUCCAUAGCCUCAACAAGACAUGCAAUUCAGUUUUCAGCACAUUUAUUUUGUAAGAGGGGAAAUAAGGAAAUUUCUGAAAAAACUGUUUCCAUAGAGUGUGAAAGAUAUGUUAAUACACUGAUAAAAACUUGUCCAUUAACAUAAGCAACUGUGUCUAUAAAGGAUUAACUGCUCAGUAUAAUUGAUGGACCUUCCUUACUCUAAUUCCAGUCCUUGAUAACAAUACUAAUAAUUAUAAUAAUCAAGAGUCAGUUAAGGCUGAAAGCCUGAACUUUACCGGAUGAUACCAUCAUUAUUCCACUACUUCCUCUAAUUGAGUAGCACUUACCAACUGGUGUCAGAGGCACUCAGCAGCAAGUGACAUCAGUGGGGUUCUGCUUGAGGAGGGUCUGGGGGAUGUGGGGCAGAAGGGGUGAGCAGACACAUGCCCAAAGGGCUGCCCUCCUGUAAUGUGUCAAGGGAAACAGAACUGAAGAGGUAAUUUUGAGAGAGUGUCAGAUUGCACUACCAAAACAUUCCUGUGUGAGCUUUGGCAAGUGACCUUUACUUCUGAAUCUGAGCUCCUGUUCUACAGGACUAAACUGGUAGCAUGUCCCUUCCUCAUAUUUAUCUAUGAAGAUGAAUACAUUUAAGAGCAUGCCUUGUCUACGUUCCACGGUAAUGAAGCUGUACCGAGAGUUGUAAAUAUGCAGGAGAACACAGAUUCUGUUUCUCUGUAAAUCUUACCAAGCUACUUAUCUUCCUAGUAACAGUAGAGAAGAACGCUGUAUCAGCUUUCAGUUUGAAGUAUUGAUUGACAUUCUAUUCAAAUAAAAGCACAAAAGCAGUU